AGAAUCAACGCUGGCGGCGUGCCUAACACAUGCAAGUCGCACGAGAAAGGGACUUCGGUCCUGAGUACAGUGGCGCACGGGUGAGUAACACGUGAAUCAUCUACCUCCGAGUGGGGAAUAAACUGAGAGAAAUCUUAGCUAAUACCGCAUAACACUUACGAGUCAAAGCAGCAAUGCGCUUGGAGAGGAGUUCGCGGCAGAUUAGUUAGUUGGCGGGGUAAUGGCCCACCAAGACGAUGAUCUGUA
rnacentral:rRNA from 1 species